GUUCGAUCACAACGCUACAGAUGUACCUCUAAUGAUGUAUUCCGCAGUUGCAUAGCAGCAUUGAACAAAUGGGCCCGAGUUGUAUUUCAGGAAUUGUAUGUCUAACCCAGUUGUGGAAAGUUAAACCCUCACCCGAACCAGUGAAAUAACGACAAGAAUAAAUAAGUCAAUAGCGACACAUUCUGGUAUCCACCCUUUUGUUUUUGACUGCGGGUUUAUAAAGCCUCUAUUAAUUAAUCUCACUUGCCCUUCAAUCUUCACAUUGGGAUUUUCAACAGAAACGGUACAACUAAGAAAUAUUCAGACCUCUUACCACUCAGCGACGCUCGAUCAGUCUCCCAGAGAGGAAUCUGCAGUCUAACACAGCAUAAGGUUUCAACUGUGUUGAUGGAAUCACACAACAUUGGUAAAGGAACUUGCCAGCAUCCUUUAAACAAAUUUAUUUCAUUAUAAAAUCUGGCAUUGCCGACACAUCAAUACAGUCUUCCAAGCAAGAUAUCAGGAAAAGGCUGCACUCAAACUGUGACCCAUUCUGGCAUCUCUCAGCAGCAGCGUGGUGCUCCUGACAAGAUUGUUGAUGAUAAUGGCCUCUUGGUGUCCCUGCAGUUAACUUCCUUGCACGGUUCGGCAAAAAGCACAGAAAAGCUUCCAAGUUACCAGUCAAUCGAUACCUUCUCCGGGAUGGUUAAAGAUUUGGUUUCAGAGACAUCAAAACACCUGAGAUAAGGAUAUUUCUGUAAUGGAGUUAUACUGUCUCACUUUCCCACUCAGCAGUAACAAAGUUACUUACUCCAAUGUCAGUUUUGUUACUGCAAUUUUGCACUUUCUGCCA